AGUGAACGCUGGCGGUAGGCCUAACACAUGCAAGUCGAACGGCAGCACAGUAAGAGCUUGCUCUUACGGGUGGCGAGUGGCGGACGGGUGAGGAAUACAUCGGAAUCUACUUUUUCGUGGGGGAUAACGUAGGGAAACUUACGCUAAUACCGCAUACGACCUACGGGUGAAAGCAGGGGAUCUUCGGACCUUGCGCGAUUGAAUGAGCCGAUGUCGGAUUAGCUAGUUGGCGGGGUAAAGGCCCACCAAGGCGACGAUCCGUAGCUGGUCUGAGAGGAUGAUCAGCCACACUGGAACUGAGACACGGUCCAGACUCCUACGGGAGGCAGCAGUGGGGAAUAUUGGACAAUGGGCGCAAGCCUGAUCCAGCCAUACGGCGUGGGUGAAGAAGGCCUUCGGGUUGUAAAGCCCUUUUGUUGGGAAAGAAAAGCAGCAGGUUAAUACCCCGCUGUUCUGACGGUACCCAAAGAAUAAGCACCGGCUAACUUCGU
rnacentral:rRNA from 1 species